rnacentral:rRNA from 1 species
AGAGUUUGAUCCUGGCUCAGAACGAACGUUGGCGGCGUGGAUUAGGCAUGCAAGUCGAACGAGAACCAUUGGGUAACUGAUGGGGAAAGUGGCGAAAGGGGCAGUAAUGCAUGGGUAACCUACCCCGGGGAUCGGGAUAGCCAUUCUAACGGAUGGGUAAUACCGAGCGAUGUAGCGAGAUCGCAUGACCUUGCUACGAA